GUAUAGAGAGAAGGUUCAUACAUUCCUAGAGGAGUCUCUGUCCUCAUGGCCAGACAGUAUAGAGAGAAGGUUCAUACAUUCCUAGAGGAGUCUCUGUCCUCAUGGCCAGACAGUAUAGAGAGAAGGUUCAUACAUUCCUAGAGGAGUCUCUUUCCUCAUGGCCAGACAGUAUAGAGAGAAGGUUCAUACAUACCUAGAGGAGUCUCUGUUCUCAUGGCCAGACAGUAUAGAGAGAAGGUUCAUACAUUCCUAGAGGAGUCUCUGUCCUCAUGGCCAGACAGUAUAGAGAGAAGGUUCAUACAUUCCUAGAGGAGUCUCUGUCCUCAUGGCCAGACAGUAUAGAGAGAAGGUUCAUACAUUCCUAGAGGAGUCUCUGUCCUCAUGGCCAGACAGUAUAGAGAGAAGGUUCAUACAUUCCUAGAGGAGUCUCUGUCCUCAUGGCCAGACAGUAUAGAGAGAAGGUUCAUACAUUCCUAGAGGAGUCUCUCUCCUCAUGGCCAGACAGUAUAGAGAGAAGGUUCAUACAUUCCUAGAGGAGUCUCUGUCCUCAUGGCCAGACAGUAUAGAGAGAAGGUUCAUACAUUCCUAGAGGAGUCUCUCUCCUCAUGGCCAGACAGUAUAGAGAGAAGGUUCAUACAUUCCUAGAGGAGUCUCUGUCCUCAUGGCCAGACAGUAUAGAGGGAAGGUUCAUACAUUCCUAGAGGAGUCUCUCUCCUCAUGGCCAGACAGUAUAGAGAGAAGGUUCAUACAUUCCUAGAGGAGUCUCUGUCCUGAUGGCCAGACAGUAUAGAGAGAAGGUUCCACAGGAGAACAAAGGAA